rnacentral:miRNA from 1 species
ACUGCCUUCCUUUGUGUGGCCCAG